UACGAAGGGGGCUAGCGUUGUUCGGAAUUACUGGGCGUAAAGCGCAUGUAGGCGGUUCUUUAAGUCAGGGGUGAAAUCCCGGGGCUCAAACCCGGAAUUGCCUUUGAUACUGGAGAGCUAGAGUUUGGGAGAGGUGAGUGGAAUUCCGAGUGUAGAGGUGAAAUUCGUAGAUAUUCGGAGGAACACCAGUGGCGAAGGCGGCUCACUGGCCCGAAACUGACGCUGAGAUGCGAAAGCGUGGGGAGCAAACAGG
rnacentral:rRNA from 1 species